ACUAUCUACAUAUAUGAGAAACCUAACUAGAGAUGUGCACGGCAGCAGCGGCAGCGGCAGCAGCAGCAGCAGCCGCAGUGGCUGUCAUAUACCGGCAGCAGUCAAAGUAAGAACUCUGCAUCAGGAUGUACGUCUCCAGUUGAGAUGAAUUUACACGGAUAAUAUGCCACAGAAUCAUUUUGACAUUUUGUGAUUACAACUGCAACAGAAAAGAAUAUGCUGCUUUCACUUUGUGUGUUACUCUCAUUCCUAACCAAAACUCUUUGUGUAGAUCUUGUUUACCAUGUGGAGGAAGGCAGGAGUCCUUCUACAUAUAUCGGAAAUAUUGCGACAAAUACAAAAUUGCUGGACAAUGUACAAAUGAAAGACCGCAAUAAGGUGUGGUUUAGCAUAAUACAACAGAGCGGUGCCGCUGAUAAACAGUUAUUCAAUGUUUCUAAAAACGGUAAACUUUAUACAGCUCAGGUAUUGGAUGCAGAAUCUCUUUGUUCAUAUGCCAAAGAAUGUUUCAAAACAAUCAAAAUUGCUGUCCGUCGAGCAAAGACUUUUAUGAAGAUUUUAAAAAUAAAAAUUGUCAUUGAUGAUGUUAAUGACCAUCAACCAGAAUUCCCAUUAACACAAGUUAGUAUCCAGUUUUCAGAAAGAGAUGGCAGAGGAACCAAAAUUUCAGUUCCAAAUGCCAUAGACAAAGAUGUAGGUGUUCUUAAUUCUCAGAUUACAUAUCAACUUGAAAAGAGUUCUGACGAACCAUUUGCUUUAUUAUAUUCCAAGAGAAUUGAUGGAACCAGUAAAUUAGAAAUUAUUUUAGAAGAAAAACUUGAUCGAGAAGCAAAAGACCGAUAUGUUUUGGAAGUUAUUGCAAGAGAUGGAGGAUCACCCGUCAAACAAAGCGUUUUGACGGUAUAUAUAGCAGUGGCGGAUGAAAAUGACAACUCCCCAAUUUUUUCACAGAAUGUUUAUAACAUCUCCAUAAGAAACAGACACCAAAAAUCUAUUCCUGUAACAACUCUAUUCGCUAAUGAUUUGGACUCAGGUAAAAAUGGCAAAAUAGUUUACCGUUUUAGUUCCAAAACUUCAGAUGUUGCAAAAUAUCAGUUUAUUUUAAAUCAAAUAACUGGGGAGAUAUUUCUUAGCAAUGAAUUUGAUUUUAAUGAAAAAGUCACUUACAUGCUUUUUGUUGAAGCAACUGACAAAGGAAGUCCGCCCUUAAGUUCCAUUGCUCUCGUUCUAGUAAAUGUUAUUAAUGACCGCAAUAACCAACCAAAAAUUGAUGUCAACUUUGUCUCUGCUCUUGACGAAAACACUGCUGUAAUAACUGAGGACACUAAAGUUGGCAGUUUUAUUGCAUAUGUAAUGAUCACCGAUGAUGAUAUUGGACAAAAUGGCAUAGUUAGUUGUAAUCUACAACAUGAUAAAUUCCAGCUUUUAACUAUGAAUUCUAAAGAAUUCAAAAUCAUAGUCAAAAAUCCAGUUGAUCGAGAAAAGGAAGAUCAUUACCAAAUUGUAAUUGUGUGCUCUGAUAAAGGAUUCCCUCCUCAAAAGACUGAAAGAGCUUUCUCCAUCCAAGUGACUGAUGUCAAUGAUGUACAGCCUCAGUUUACUAAAAAUACAUUCAAGUUUCUCACUUAUGAAAACGAGGAACCUAAUUUCCCUGUCGGAUUCAUCAAUGCAACUGAUGAAGAUCUCGGACUUGGAAAACGACUGACUUUUUCUCUGCAAAAUUCAAAUGAUGCAUCCCUUCCUUUUAAGAUAACUGAUAAUGGAUUUAUUUCCACAACACAGUCGCUAGAUCGCGAAAGGCAGGAUAUAUACAAAUUUCAAGUGUGGGUGAGAGAUAAUGGAAUACCGUCGCUAAGUAAUAAAGCAAAUGUUAUUGUUGAAGUCAUGGACGAAAAUGACAAUGCUCCACAUUUCAUUUUCCCAAGUGUUAACCCAUUUAGUCUAGAUGUCUACUAUCAUCCAAACAGUAGAAAUAACAUCUCAGUAUUGAAAGUUGCUGACAGAGAUAGCCCAAGAAAUGCUUUUUUCAAAUAUGAAAUAGUUAAAGGAAAUGAAAAACGAUUGUUUACAAUUGAUUCAUACACAGGUGUGUUGUCAUUCUCUCGUACAGUGUACCAGAAUGAUGCUGGCUUGUAUAAACUACAGUGUGCAGUCAGAGAUAGCGGCACUCCUGUUUUGACUGCGACCACCAAUUUAUCUUUAACAUUGAUAGUUAGCAAUAAAACAUUGAAAAUGAUGAAAGACAAACACAUACUUUUGGAUAACAGAAUACAUGUUAAUUUGGUAAUACUAAUAACUUUGGCAUCUGUUAUUGUAUCAGUUGUUGUUGUCGUUUCUAUAACAGCAUGCAUUGUCAGAUGUCAUAAGAGAAAUGCUCUGCACAUGACUGCAGUAGAUACAUCAAAUCGGUCUUUUAGAGAAAAGAGACACUUAAUCUCUCAAACGAACAAUUCUGCUGUCAUAACAGGAAAUUCAGAUGAGAUGAGAAAUAGAAAUAUUCAGCUGAUGAGGUCAAGAAGUCAGCUUUUCACUGAAGAGGAAUUACAGUAUGAUUGGAAAACAUCUACUAUAACCAGAAAGCUGCCAACACCUACACAGGAUAGAAAAAAUUUGGAGAGCACAGAUUUGUUUGACAUUCUUGCCGCUUGAAAAUGAGGCUCGGAAUGAAAGAAAGUUGUGAAGCAGGAGAAAUCUAAGAUCAAAAAUGAUUCUUCACAUUGCCAGCAACAUGUUUGUCUCUCACGACCAGAAGCAGCUCAGAAAUACAAAUCUAUGCUUCCCAUAACAUGUAAUGGACUCCGGAAAUAAAAAUGAAAGAGAAACCUAAAAUAUUGCAUAUCACGGAACAAUUUUCCUGACUUUAUUGAUGAUGAUAUAUAUAUAUAUAUACAUAUAUAUAUAUAUAUAUAUAUAUACAUACAAUGAAAACAUUUCUUCUGGUAAAAGAUGAAAAUAUUGUCAAAGCAGCUGAUCUAUAUGUCAUCUCUACUGGGAAACUAAAAGUCUCACAAAGCAUAUAUAUAUAUAUAUAUAUGUAUGUAUAUAUGUAUGUAUGUAUAUAUGUAUAUAUAUACACACUCUGGGACAGUAGGCAUUUCAUAAUUGAUACAUUUAUCAUUGAAACUGCAACACCAAAAAUAUGCAGUAGCACCAGAAAAUUCUAUCAUUUAUCUUUCAUAAACUGAUACAUCCUUACAUCCAUACAUCCAUACAUCCAUCCAUACAUACUUACAUACAUACACAUACAUACAUAUAUACAGACAUCUACACAUACACACAUGCAUAAAUUGUAUACAUACAUAAACUUGCAUACAUAUAAUGUUUGUAAAGAUGACGAUUUUGGAGAUGUUAACGAUGGGGAUAAUGAAGAAAGGAGAAGAAGAACCAAAAAAAAAUAUAUAUAUAUAUAUCAACAAAAAACAAAAACAAUGUACAUUUCAUAUACAUCAUUUUUCUCAUUUUAGUUUUUAACAAAGAAUUCUGACUUUGAAUAACUUGUGAAUAACUUGACUUUACAACAUAAUUGUUAUGUUCCUGUGUUGCAAGCUGGAUGUGUACAUCGUCAUGAAAUUUUGAAUUGAAGUUUAAAUUAUUCUCCAAUUAGAUCAUUCCUCUAUCCUCCAUCAGAGUGGAAUACAGCUAUUUAAGUUGGUUGCACUGUGAUUUGUCAUUCAAAACUCCAUGUGACUUCGUCUUUGGUUUGAUACCAAUAUUACAGAAUCUGUUGUUCAGUUUUGAAAUUCAUUCUUCUUGUAUAUAAAUAAUCAGAAAUA
rnacentral:misc_RNA from 1 species